UUUGGAAAUAAUAAAUCAGACUAUUGUUGACCACCAACCUACCCAGCCAAUUUAUUUUGCUCCAUUUGGAUUUAGCUGUUUUCACUUGGCUAGUUUGCACGAUCGCAGAAAACGCUCUGCGACCCAACAUUUUGGCGCCCAACGUGGGGCUCGAGUAAGUAUUCGCAUCUGGUAUUUCGUGGACACUUGGUCAUCAGCACGGAACUCCACCAUUGGACUACACCGCUGGACUUUAUCAUCCUCGUUGAACAUUGGAACCUAAUUGCCAUAACCAUUGCCCAGCAGCACUAGUAUUGUGGUCUCCACUGGUCUCUUCUGGACUCCUGUUUCACCACCAUUACGCCGCCGCUACUGGUUUGCCUUCCGUCGUCCACCCAAACGUAAGUAACCACUAUACUUGCAAAUUGAUACAGAAUGUCAUUGGAUUUGCUAAAGCAACAACGUGCAAAUGUCAAGAAAAACAUCACUCGAAUCAAAAAUAUCAUCGAGGGUAGUUUGCGAUCAGGUGGAAAAGCACUUUCACCUGCUGAACACAAGUGCCGCCUGGGUAUCCUGGAAUCUUAUUUCAAGCAAAUCCUGACGAUUCAGACAGACAUCGAAAGGUUGGAUGCCGAGGAUAGCAGAUAAUUGAUCGUGAGUAUAGCUUGUCCAACAAUGAAAAAUUCAAUCACCUGCGGAAUUGCCUACAAGGUCAAGCGUUGGAAACAGUGGACGCAUUUCAGGUAACAAAUGAGAAUUAUCCAAAGGCAUUGGAUAGGCUAAAGGCUCGCUAUGAUAAUAAUUUUUUUGGAAAAUAUUUCAUCAUUGUUCGAACUACCAGUUGUUACUAAAACAAAUGGUAUUCAGCUUAGAAGUCUUAUCGAUAAGGCUUCAUCAAAUAUGGAUCUCUCUUGUCGCUCGGUACUGACAUGCAAAUAUCACAAGCUAUGCUAAUCUAUUUAGUUUUGCAGAAGUCCGAUGAACAAACCAGCAAGAAAUUGAAAGAAUCACUAGAUUUCAAAUCAUUUCCAACAUGGGAAGACUGCACUAGGAUAUUGGAGAGACACUGCCAGUAUUAGGAGUCUAUUGACAGCGCUCACACCAGCAACCCUGUUACCAACAAAUCGCCAUCAAGCAAGUCAAAGGGCCAGCAACGAGGAUACGCUUUUUCUUGCUCCAACACACCAUGUCCAAUUUGUUCCAAUUCACGCCAUAAACCUUUGAAGUGCAAGCGCUUCAAGGCACUUAGCAUCGCUCAGCGCUUUGAUAAUGCAAAGAAGUUUGGUCUGUGUAUCAAUUGCCUUUCAAAGGGGCAUCAAGUAACGCAUUGCCAAUCAUCGCAUCGGUGCAAGGUUUGUCAAAGGCAACACCACACUCUACUUCAUCGUGGAUCAGCACCAAACCAACAAGCCACAAGUCCUUCAUCUUCAACAACGGAGGCUACUGUACAUACACAUAUGAAAAACUCGUCCAGUGACAGCAUCAUUCUUGCAACUGCAAAGGUUUGGGUUCGUGACUCAUCUGGCAACUACAAAUUGGGUAAGGCACUGUUGGUCUCCUGUUCCCAGGUUAACUUCAUCAGGAAUGAAUUUUCGCAAAAAUUAAGGUUGUCAAGAAGUAAGCAGAAUAUUGAAAUCCAAUGCAUUGGUAAGUCGUCGACCAAUAUCAAGUAUAAAACAACAACUAAUACCAAAUCGGUAGUCACUGGUUUCAAGCUCCCAUUGACCUUCUGCAUCACAACCCACAUUGCCUAUCAACCGGAUCCAGAAAUCGACAUUUCUUCAUGGAACAUCCCAGGUAAUACUACAUUGGCAGAUGAGGAAUUCCACGUGCUAGGGAAGGUCGACUUGUUGUUAGGUACUGAAACGUUUUUCAGCCUACUGUCUGUCGGUCAAAUUAAACUAGGAACUAAUUUGCCAAUACUGCAAAAACGCUGUUAGGAUGGGUCGUGUCUGGACGAUAUCAAACAUUUACUUACAGCUAAUGAAUCUCUGGAUGCAUGGUUGGAGAAAUUGUGGAAAUUGGAGGAGGUUGCUACUGCCGCGGAUCCUUGGACUCGUGAACAGCACAGUUGCGAACGAUUAUAUCUCAAUACAGUCUCCAGAAACUCUUGUGGCAGAAUAGUUGUAAGAUUGCCCUUGAAGGAUGAUCCUAGUUGUUUGGGCGACUCAUACGUAACGGCUUUGAGACGGUUUCAUGCACAAGGACGUCGUUUCGAGAAGUUACCUCUUCUAAAGGCGCACUACAUCGAAUUCAUGGAUGAAUACAAAGGUUUGCGAAACAUGAGCGUUGUGGAAAACCCAAAGGUAAAUGAACCACAUUAUUAUAUUCCUCCUCACUGUGUUCUGAAGCCAACAAGUACAACAACCAAGCUGAGGGUCGUAUUCGAUGCAUCCUGUCGAACGACAACCCAAAAAUCGCUUAACGAUUUACAGAUAGUAGGACCUACUUUGCAAGCUGAACUAUUCAUUCUGCUUUUGCGCUUUCGGCUUUAUCGGUAUGCGCUCACCGCCGACAUCAUCAAAAUGUAUCGGCAAGUUGUAAUGCACGAAGACGACCGGAAAUACCAAUAUAUUUUAUGGAGGAGUUCACCCACUGAGGAGGUUUCGACAUAUCAACUCAAUACGGUAACUUAUGGAAUGGCAUCUGCUCCAUACUUAGCUAUACGGAGCAAAUAAGGCAAGAGGUAACUCAAUUGCUAGAUUUAGGUGGAUUUAAAUUAGCUAAAUAGCACUCUAAUCAACAACGGUUCAGAGAAGACAGUUUAGCUAAGGAUCUUAAUUUGGAUACAUCUAUCACAAGCACACCUGGAAUGAAAUGGGACCAAAACAUCGAUUGUUUCCUUUUUUCUUUUCAACCACCUUUGCGAUCAACUAAUUGCAUCACCAAACGGUCGAUUCUUUCCACGGCAUCAUCGCUAUUCGAUCCUCUUGGUCUCCUGGCUCCAGUAAUCAUAAAAUCAAAAAUCCUUUUGCAGGAAUUACGGCUCCUGAAGUUAAACUGGGAUGAGACGGUUCCCCAAACCAUCGAAUAUGCGUGGAAGAGCUUUCUCAGCGAAAUAUCGGACCUUUCGUUAAUCAAGACUCGCAGAUACAUUGGCUAAAAGUGCAUUCAGCUACAUUAUCAACCUUUGUCGGCAACAGGAUGUCGGAAAUCCAAUGGAGGCACGUUCCCACACAAGACAACCCAGCGGCCAUAAUAUCUAGAGGAUGCACCGUGAAUGAGCUGUCCAAAUCAAUGUGGUAUGAUGACCCCAAGUUUUUAUACAAGGAGAUGGAAAACUUGCCGAGGAAUAAGUGCGAUAGCCUAGACCUGGAAGUCAUUGAAAGUGAAAAACGGAAAUCAGCAUUUAAACCGGUUAAAGAUCGACAUCUUCAUCGGAAAAACUACUACGCUGGACCUAAGGCACUCGUAGCAUUGAUAAGACUGCAAUUUUGGAUAAUAAACGCACGCGACGUGGCAAGGCGGAUCGUGAGGUCAUGCAUACACUGCGUACAAUACAAACCAAAACUUUAACAACAAGUCAUGGGACAUUUACCAGUCGAGCGGCUUACUCCAUCACGCCCCUUCGCGCGCUGUGGCAUCGACUUCUGUGGACCAGUCAACGUUUACUUACGGAUUCGUGGCAAGACACCUUACAAGGCGUAUAUCGCGAUCUUCGUAUGCCUUGCAUCAAAGGCAGUGCAUAUCGAAACCGUAACCGACUUAUCUACAGACGCAUUUUUGUCAUCACUAAAGAGAAUGAUUGGGAGAAGAGGCCUACCCUCUGACAUUUAUUGCGACAAUGCUAAAAACUUUGUCGGCGCUUGUAGUAAACUUGCAGAUUUAAAGGCAUUUCUAUUCAAACAUGAAAAUAAAAAUGCAAUCAUAAAUUACUGGGCUAAUGAAUUUAUCAACUUUUAUUUUAUAUCCCCUAGAGCACCUCAUUUUAUCGGUAUAUGGGAGGCGGCAGUCAAGUCAGCGAAGGGUCAUCUCAACCGCAGCAUUGGCAGAGCUAGACUGACAUUUGAAGAGUUAUCGACAGUUCCGGUAGAAAUAGAGGCGGUAUUUAAUUCCCGGCCGAUAUCACCAUUAUCAGCAGACCCAAGCGACUACGAGGCACUGACACGUGCACAUUUCAUCAUUGGCAGAUCCCUACAAGCUCUUCCGGAGAAAAUCAUAUCAACUAAUAUAGACAACUUGCAGCGAUGGACCCAAGUGACACGCAUUAAGCAAGCAUUUUGGAAAAGAUGGUCUCACAAAUAUGUUAAUGAGCUUCAAGCACGCUCAAAAUGGUUUUCGGAUCGUCUCAACAUCAACGAAAACACAAUGGUCAUCAUCCACGAAGACAACGUACCACCACAGAAAUGGCAUCUUGGGAGAGUAAUCAAUUGUAUACCAG
rnacentral:lncRNA from 1 species